AAAGAGCUCGUAGGUGGUUUGUUACGUCGGUUGUGAAAUUCAGGGGCUCAACCCCUGACUUGCAGCCGAUACGGGCAAGCUAGAGUUUGGUAGGGGAGACUGGAAUUCCUGGUGUAGCGGUGGAAUGCGCAGAUAUCAGGAGGAACACCGAUGGCGAAGGCAGGUCUCUGGGCCAAUACUGACACUGAGGAGCGAAAGCGUGGGGAGCGAACAGGAUUAGAUACCCUGGUAGUCCACGCCGUAAACGGUGGGCGCUAGUUGUGCGAACCUUCCACGGUUUGUGCGACGCAGCUAACGCAUUAAGCGCCCCGCCUGGGGAGUACGAUCGCAAGAUUAAAACUCAAAGGAAUUGACGGGGCCCCGCACAAGCAGCGGAGCAUGCGGCUUAAUUCGACGCAACGCGAAGAACCUUACCAAGGCUUGACAUAUACAGGAAUAUGGCAGAGAUGUCAUAGCCGCAAGGUCUGUAUACAGGUGGUGCAUGGUUGUCGUCAGCUCGUGUCGUGAGAUGUUGGGUUAAGUCCCGCAACGAGCGCAACCCUCGUUCUGUGUUGCCAGCAUUUAGUUGGGGACUCACAGGAGACUGCCGGGGUUAACUCGGAGGAAGGUGGGGAUGACGUCAAAUCAUCAUGCCCCUUAUGUCUUGGGCUGCACGCAUGCUACAAUGGCUGGUACAAACGGCUGCGAUACCGCA
rnacentral:rRNA from 1 species